GAUGAAGAACGCAGCGAAAUGCGAUAAGUAAUGUGAAUUGCAGAAUUCAGUGAAUCAUCGAAUCUUUGAACGCACCUUGCACCCUUUGGCAUUCCGAAGGGUAUGCUCGUUUGAGUGUCAUUGUACUCUCACACUUCCAAUCUUUGGAUUGGGGGCGGUGGACUUGGGUGUUGCUGCUUACUGUGGCUCACCUCAAAUUGAUUCGUGCACCUCUUGGUUGGACAUAGUACGGCGUGAUAAGUGUCUUCGCCGGCACCUCAGUAGAGGGUGGCUGAUCGGGAGCUCUGUGCUUCAAACCGUCCUCGGACAACAACUGACAACUUGACCUCAAAUCGAGUAGGACUACCCACUGAACUUAAGCAUAUCAAUAAGCGGAGGA
rnacentral:misc_RNA from 1 species